rnacentral:rRNA from 1 species
GGCCACACUGGGACUGAGACACGGCCCAGACUCCUACGGGAGGCAGCAGUAGGGAAUCUUCCGCAAUGGACGAAAGUCUGACGGAGCAACGCCGCGUGAGUGAUGAAGGUUUUCGGAUCGUAAAGCUCUGUUGUUAGGGAAGAACAAGUGCAAGAGUAACUGCCGGCACCUUGACGGUACCUAACCAGAAAGCCACGGCUAACUACGUGCCAGCAGCCGCGGUAAUACGUAGGUGGCAAGCGUUGUCCGGAAUUAUUGGGCGUAAAGGGCUCGCAGGCGGUUUCUUAAGUCUGAUGUGAAAGCCCCCGGCUCAACCGGGGAGGGUCAUUGGAAACUGGGAAACUUGAGUGCAGAAGAGGAGAGUGGAAUUCCACGUGUAGCGGUGAAAUGCGUAGAGAUGUGGAGGAACACCAGUGGCGAAGGCGACUCUCUGGUCUGUAACUGACGCUGAGGAGCGAAAGCGUGGGGAGCGAACAGGAUUAGAUACCCUGGUAGUCCACGCCGUAAACGAUGAGUGCUAAGUGUUAGGGGGUUUCCGCCCCUUAGUGCUGCAGCNUAACGCAUUAAGCACUCCGCCUGGGGAGUACGGUCGCAAGACUGAAACUCAAAGGAAUUGACGGGGGCCCGCACAAGCGGUGGAGCAUGUGGUUUAAUUCGAAGCAACGCGAAGAACCUUACCAGGUCUUGACAUCCUCUGACAACCCUAGAGAUAGGGCUUUCCCUUCGGGGACAGAGUGACAGGUGGUGCAUGGUUGUCGUCAGCUCGUGUCGUGAGAUGUUGGGUUAAGUCCCGCAACGAGCGCAACCCUUGAUCUUAGUUGCCAGCAUUCAGUUGGGCACUCUAAGGUGACUGCCGGUGACAAACCGGAGGAAGGUGGGGAUGACAUCAAAUCAUCAUGCCCCUUAUGACCUGUGCUACACACGUGCUACAAUGUACAGAACAAAGGGCUGCGAGACCGCGAGGU